rnacentral:rRNA from 1 species
AUAUUCCUGUACCACGUCGCACUCAUUUGACUGAUGGGGGGACGGGGAAGGCUAUGGGAACCCAGGCGAUGGUCGUCCUGGGUCAAGCAUGUAGGGGUGGCCGAUGAUAAAUGCGCGGCCGCAUAACCUGAGGUGCGAUGACAGCUGGCUUCAAGCCGGCGAGUCCCGGACGCCAUGCCUCCGAGAAAAGCCUCUAGGGAGAGUGCACGUGCCCGUACCAAAACCGACACAGGUGGGCAAGUAGAGAAUACUAAGGUGAUCGAGAUAACCAUCGUUAAGGAACUCGGCAAAAUCGCUCCGUAACUUCGGGAUAAGGAGCGCCCCAGUAAGGUGAAGCACCUCGCGUGCGGAGCCUGAGAGGGCCGCAGUGAAUAGGUUCAACCGACUGUUUACCAAAAACACAGGGCUCUGCUAAGUCGUAAGACGACGUAUAGGGUCUGACGCCUGCCCGGUGCCGGAAGGUUACGUGGAGGUGUUAGGGGUAACCCGAAGCACUGAAACUAAGCCCCGGUAAACGGCGGCGGUAACAAUAACCGUCCUAAGGUAGCGAAAUUCCUUGUCGGGUAAGUUCCGACCUGCACGAAUGGCGUAACGAGUUGAACGCUGUCUCAACGAUGGGCUCGGUGAAAUUGCAGUCUCGGUGAAGAUGCCGAGUACCCGUGGCUAGACGGAAAGACCCCGUGAACCUUUACUACAACCUGGUAUUGGAGUGCGGUGCAUCUCGCUCAGGAUAGGAGGGAGUCUUUGAAGCGCCGGCUGCGGCUGGCGUGGAGACAACCUUGAGAUACCUCCCUUGAUGUAUUGUGCUUCUAACACUGCGCCGUAAUCCGGGCAGUGAACAGUGCCAGGCGGGUAGUUUGACUGGGGCGGUCGCCUCCCAAAAUGUAACGGAGGCGCGCAGAGGUUCCCUCAGCACGGUUGGAAAUCGUGCGUAGAGUGCAAAAGCAGUAAGGGAGCUUGACUGUGAGACCGACAGGUCGAGCAGGUGCGAAAGCAGGCUUUAGUGAUCCGGCAGUAGCAAGUGGAAGUGCUGUCGCUCAACGGAUAAAAGGUACUCCGGGGAUAACAGGCUUAUCGAGUCCAAGAGUCCACAUCGACGACUCGGUUUGGCACCUCGAUGUCGGCUCGUCGCAUCCUGGGGCUGAAGUAGGUCCCAAGGGUUGGGCUGUUCGCCCAUUAAAGCGGUACGCGAGCUGGGUUCAGAACGUCGUGAGACAGUUCGGUCCCUAUCUGCCAUGGGCGUUGGAGAAUUGAAAGGAUUCGUCCCUAGUACGAGAGGACCGGGAUGAACGCACCUCUGGUGUAUCUGUUGUCCUGCCAAGGGCAUCGCAGGUUAGCUACGUGCGGACCGGAUAACCGCUGAAGGCAUCUAAGCGGGAAGCCGACCUUGGGAUGAGUUCUCCCACCUCCUUGAGAGGGUAAGAUCCCUGGUAGACCACCAGGUUGAUAGGCCGGAUCUGGAAGAGCGGUAACGCUCGUAGGAGACCGGUACUAAUGGAUCGAGGGCUUGACGA